UACAGAGGGGGCAAGCGUUAUUCGGAAUUAUUGGGCGUAAAGGGCGCGUAGGCGGCUUGGCAAGUGGAUGGUGAAAUCCCUCGGCUUAACCGAGGAACUGCCAUCCAGACUGCUUUGCUUGAGGCCGGGAGAGGUGAGUGGAAUUCCCAGUGUAGCGGUGAAAAUGCGUAGAUAUUGGGAGGAACACCAGUGGCGAAGGCGGCUCACUGGACCGGUACUGACGCUGAGGUGCGAAAGCGUGGGGAGCAAACAGG
rnacentral:rRNA from 1 species